ACGGGUGAGUAACGCGUAAAGAACUUGCCCUUUAGACUGGGAUAACAGAGGGAAACUUCUGNAUAAUACUGGAUAAGUUAGUAUAUCGCAUGAUAUGCAAAUGAAAGCUACGGCACUAAAGGAGAGCUUUGCGUCCUAUUAGCUAGUUGGUAAGGUAAGAGCUUACCAAGGCGAUGAUAGGUAGCCGGCCUGAGAGGGUGGACAGCCACAAGGGGACUGAGAUACGGCCCUUACUCCUACGGGAGGCAGCAGGG
rnacentral:rRNA from 1 species